rnacentral:lncRNA from 10 species
GCUCGGGCUCGCGGGCUGCGCAGCCUGGGCAGCGUCCCUCUGCUGGGGUCUCCAGCGACGAUAGUGAGCCAACUUCAGGGGGCUGUUGGGCAUUUACUGGGCUGGGUCCUGUCCUGCUGCGCCAAGGAACAGAGGACGCUGCGGCCCUGGGGCUCCUGUCAGUGGCCGGUGCGAGAGCCCAAGCUGCCCUCUCCUCACCCAGCGGAGGCGGCGGAGCGCACCGCCCAC